UACAGAGGGUGCGAGCGUUAAUCGGAAUUACUGGGCGUAAAGCGUGCGUAGACGGUUAUUUAAGUCGGAUGUGAAAGCCCCGGGCUCAACCUGGGAAUUGCAUUCGAGACUGAAUAGCUAGGGUACGGUAGAGGGAAGCGGAAUUUCCGGUGUAGCGGUGAAAUGCGUAGAUAUCGGAAGAAACACCCGUGGCGAAGGCGGCCAGCUGGGCCGUCCCUGACGCUGAGGCGCGAAGGCGUGGGGAGCGAACGGG
rnacentral:rRNA from 1 species